rnacentral:rRNA from 1 species
AUUGAACGCUGGCGGCAUGCUUUACACAUGCAAGUCGAACGGUAACAGGCCGCAAGGUGCUGACGAGUGGCGAACGGGUGAGUAAUGCAUCGGAACGUGCCCAGUCGUGGGGGAUAACUGCUCGAAAGAGCAGCUAAUACCGCAUACGAUCUAUGGAUGAAAGCGGGGGACCGUAAGGCCUCGCGCGAUUGGAGCGGCCGAUGUCAGAUUAGGUAGUUGGUGGGGUAAAGGCUCACCAAGCCAACGAUCUGUAGCUGGUCUGAGGGGACGACCAGCCACACUGGGACUGAGACACGGCCCAGACUCCUACGGGAGGCAGCAGUGGGGAAUUUUGGACAAUGGGGGCAACCCUGAUCCAGCAAUGCCGCGUGCAGGAAGAAGGCCUUCGGGUUGUAAACUGCUUUUGUACGGAACGAAACGGUCUGGGUUAAUACCCUGGGCUAAUGACGGUACCGUAAGAAUAAGCACAGGCUAACUACGUGCCAGCCGCCGCCGUAAUAC